GGGCAUGGCAACAUGUCAGUGGCGGACGGGUGAGUAACGCGUAGGUAUCUGUCCUUGGGUGGGGGAUAACAGUGGGAAACUACUGCUAAUACCGCAUGACAACUGAGGUUUAAAGGCGCGAGCCGCCUGAGGAGGAGCCUGCGUUCGAUUAGCUAGUUGGUGGGGUAAAGGCCUACCAAGGCGACGAUCGAUAGCUGGUCUGAGAGGAUGAUCAGCCACACUGGGACUGAGACACGGCCCAG
rnacentral:rRNA from 1 species